AUUGAACGCUGGCGGCAUGCUUUACACAUGCCAGUCGAACGGCAGCGCGGGCUUCGGCCUGGCGGCGAGUGGCGAACGGGUGAGUAAUACAUCGGAACGUGCCCAGUAGUGGGGGAUAGCUCGGCGAAAGCCGGAUUAAUACCGCAUACGACCUGAGGGUGAAAGCGGGGGAUCUUCGGACCUCGCGCUAUUGGAGCGGCCGAUGGCAGAUUAGCUAGUUGGUGGGGUAAAGGCCUACCAAGGCGACGAUCUGUAGCUGGUCUGAGAGGACGACCAGCCACACUGGGACUGAGACACGGCCCAGACUCCUACGGGAGGCAGCAGUGGGGAUUUUUGGACAAUGGGCGAAAGCCUGAUCCAGCAAUGCCGCGUGUGUGAUGAAGGCCUUCGGGUUGUAAAGCACUUUUGGCGGGAACGAAAAGGACUGUGCCAAUACCACGGUUCGAUGACGGUACCCGCAGAAUAAGCACCGGCUAACUACGUG
rnacentral:rRNA from 1 species